rnacentral:rRNA from 1 species
AAUAGAACUGUCCUGUACUUUGGACGGAAGGGAUUGUUAUUAAUUAAGAAAAGAAAGUCGACAUUAUUCACAAACGUGAAUGAUAAUAACUUGCAUAAUUGUUGGAGUGUCAAAGCUUCAGCAGUUAUCGAUGCGAACCGAAGCUCGGUUGAAAUAAACCGUCGGUGAGUCAUUCAAAUUUCUGAUCUAUCAAAACUUGAAUGUAGGGUAGCGGCCUACAUUGGUGGUGACGGAUACGGAGGGUCAGGGCUCGACUCCGGAGAGGGCGCCUGAGAGAUGGCGACCACUUCUAAGGAAGGCAGCAGGCGCGCAAAUUACCCAAUGUCCAUUUGAAGUAAUCGAGGAUGAGGUAGUGACCGCGAAUAUAAAUACCGAUUGGAAUAUUCUGAUUGGUAAUUUAAAUGAGUACAAUGUAAAUGACUUAACGAGGAUCAAUUGGAGGGCAAGUCUGGUGCCAGCAGCCGCGGUAAUUCCAGCUCUAAUAGCGUAUAUUAAUAUUGUUGC